CCAUGUGUGUGUCUUUCCUUUGCCCAUGUGUGUGUGUUUUCCUUUGCAUUUGCACACACAUGUUCUUCAUUAUUUCAGCCAACAAUCCACCCAUUUUCUACCCAUGCCAAGCCCUCCAUGCCGUGCCUUUCUUGGUGUAUGUGUGCUGUCCAUGUAGAGUGUGUGUAUGCCCUCCAACCUGUGCAGUUUGCAUGUGUGUAGCUGUCCAUGUUUCUCUUUUGCAUGUGCCAUGCCUUCUCUUUCUAGUUGUGCAUUUCCACUUGCUCCAAAGCCAAAUGAGUGCAAUCAUAACCCCAUUUGCUGCUGAGUGUUGAUGACAAAGCAAAACACAAAACAAGUGCCUUUACUUUCUCAUUUUAUUAGCCAAAUCUGCUUAGCCCUUUUCUGAACCUUUCAGUGUUAUAAUGCUCAUAACUUCUUCUAGAAACAUAAUAUUAACAAUCCGUAAAUUGCUCCAGAAAAUAGACAUCCAUAACUUUCCAAACAUAUAAGGCUCAUUCUCUCAUUCAUUCUGAGCUAUUCGUAACAUGCUUCCAAAUUCAGCUAAUCUGCACAGGCAGUUUUGAUGAAUUUGUUACUUAAUAUCUCAGUUGUGCUACUUUUCUUUUCUUUGCUUGAUAAAUCACACAAAACACAAAAACAUAGUAAAUAGCUCAAAAAUAUUAGGAACUAUUUAAGAAAAGACAAGUGAAUUUUAUGUAAAAUAUAUAUAAAUAUGAGCUUAUCAAAUACCCCCACACUUAACUGUUGCUAGUUCUUGAGCAAAAUAAAGAAAACAAAACACAACCUAAACCUUCCAACGUUUGCCUCAAGGAUUUCCAACGCACAUGACAAGUUAAAAAUCAUCAUUCCCACAGAUUUUAGUCAACUUAACACUUGAGCACAUACUUAAUCACAGUCACCACUUACUAUUUCACAUUUAACCAAUUAAAACGUUGUUUUGAAUGUAGUAACAUGCCUUAGAGAAUUUGCUCAAUUCCUUACAAGAUAUACACUCAAUUUUCCCUCAGAUUUUCUGACUACACACCCUACACUAGGUACAUGUGAGAAGAUUGAUGUAAACAUGAAAACUAGUACUCACAUAUAUGUAUAACAAGAAAGCAUUUUCUGGUAUUAAUAAGCAUGUUUAGAUAUGAUCUCAUGAAUGGAAUGCUACUACUUAGAUGCGAGAACCAGUGACACCAUAUACUCAUACCAAAUUCAAACUCCACAAAUUGAAACACAUAAAACUGAAGAUAGAAGUCAAGGGUUGUAACCGGGCUUGGGGUAUUGGCUAAUAAAGAAAGGAUAGGAAUAACAAAUGUUCUUAAAGCGAUAGCAAGCAAAGCAAUGAAAUAGACACUUUGAAAUUCACUUUAGAAUGCAGAAUCAACUUUUAAAUACAAAGGGAAGAUUCAUGCAACACUUAGGGCUCUUUUCCACAACUUUUCUUCUUUUCAUUCUAUUUUCCACGAAUGGUUUUUUUUUUUUUUUCUUUUUCUUUUCUACCUGUGCCUUAUUAAGGACGUUGGCACACACACACACACAUAAGAAUCACUUCCCCCACACUUGUUUUCUGCAAAAGUUCAACAAAAGGAAUUCCUUCUAAAAUAUGUUUUACUAUGCUUCAAGAACAAGGGUAUGGAUGGUCCUAAUCUAGGCUAGGUGAGGAUAGUGUGGGUUAACAAAGAACAUAGGCUACACAAGGCUCAACAGGGUUAAACUUAAACACAUAAUGAAAUAGGGCAUGGCAAUUUGGCUAUGGUGGUCGCUACACAACUUCAUCUUGAAUAUGUAUUAUGCAAAUCAUAAACAUGCUUUGAAUGAAAUAGGCAUGAGUUCUAGCAUUUGGAACUAACUGAUGAAACGACUUCUAAGUAGCAACCAAGCAAAGAAUAAUGAGAUCAUGCAACGACUUUAGAAAACAAUGAUGCACAUAUUAUUAACUCUCCAAAUAAACGUUUAGGCUCAAGUCUCACAAGGUUGUAGCGUACACCAAAGAGUAAAUCAAAUUUUCAUCCAUGUUUAUAACUCUCUUUAACAGAGUAGAGUAAAAAUUAGACAUGACAAGUAUGGCAAAGUAAAAAUUAGACAGAGUAGAGUUUAAGAAUGCAAAUCUGGUUUUAGAGAUAGAUGAUCUUGUUAUCUUUCCACAGCUUUGAUCUCGAACUGGUUUGGAAUUUUGAGCGAGGAAUAUGAGAGUUCCUUGGUUUCAAAUCAGACUCCUUCUGCUGGGUUGAUUUGAUUAUGCAGUCUGGAUUCUUCUCUGCUUGUUUCUUCUGCACGGCGAGCAGGCACGAGGUAGAGGUGUUGGUCUGUUUCUUUCUUCAAUCUUUCCAAGUGCCCACCUCUUGCUUUCUUUCUCCUUAUCCCUAGCUGAGGAUGAAUUGGCAAAUUGUCUCCACAUGCUUCGAGGUAUCAUUUUCACUUCCCUUAUCUGUUCCCCAGGCAGAUGUGGUAGACGAAGAUGAAGCAUAAAAUGAUGAAGAUGAGUACUCAAGAGCAAGGCUACGUAAGAAAUCAGGAAGGGGUUCCAGGCAGUCGGUUCCAGAUCGAAAAAUUGAUACCAAGUGCUGGCUGAUUGCUCUCUUUCUACUUGUCCCAAAACAACGACAAGGAGAAUGACAGGGAGAAAGCAUGAUAUGAGAUAUUCUUGCUUUCAACCUUCAUGAUAUAAAAUACUUUUGCUUUGGAUGAGUUGUUUGCAGAGGUACCCCAAGGAAUAAGGAACAUUGAGUGACUCGAGAGGGUUUGUUGGAAAGGCAUUCUCGGAGAAGAAGAAGGGUUAUGUAUGUUUGCCUUGCAAUAGAGGGUGAAGGGUGACGUUUAUAAGAAUUUAUAACUGG
rnacentral:lncRNA from 1 species